GGUUAAGCGACUAAGCGUACACGGUGGAUGCCCUGGCAGUCAGAGGCGAUGAAGGACGUGCUAAUCUGCGAUAAGCGUCGGUAAGGUGAUAUGAACCGUUAUAACCGGCGAUUUCCGAAUGGGGAAACCCAGUGUGUUUCGACACACUAUCAUUAACUGAAUCCAUAGGUUAAUGAGGCGAACCGGGGGAACUGAAACAUCUAAGUACCCCGAGGAAAAGAAAUCAACCGAGAUUCCCCCAGUAGCGGCGAGCGAACGGGGAGCAGCCCAGAGCCUGAAUCAGUGUGUGUGUUAGUGGAAGCGUCUGGAAAGGCGCGCGAUACAGGGUGACAGCCCCGUACACAAAAAUGCACAUGCUGUGAGCUCGAUGAGUAGGGCGGGACACGUGGUAUCCUGUCUGAAUAUGGGGGGACCAUCCUCCAAGGCUAAAUACUCCUGACUGACCGAUAGUGAACCAGUACCGUGAGGGAAAGGCGAAAAGAACCCCGGCGAGGGGAGUGAAAAAGAACCUGAAACCGUGUACGUACAAGCAGUGGGAGCACGCUUAGGCGUGUGACUGCGUACCUUUUGUAUAAUGGGUCAGCGACUUAUAUUCUGUAGCAAGGUUAACCGAAUAGGGGAGCCGAAGGGAAACCGAGUCUUAACUGGGCGUUAAGUUGCAGGGUAUAGACCCGAAACCCGGUGAUCUAGCCAUGGGCAGGUUGAAGGUUGGGUAACACUAACUGGAGGACCGAACCGACUAAUGUUGAAAAAUUAGCGGAUGACUUGUGGCUGGGGGUGAAAGGCCAAUCAAACCGGGAGAUAGCUGGUUCUCCCCGAAAGCUAUUUAGGUAGCGCCUCGUGAAUUCAUCUCCGGGGGUAGAGCACUGUUUCGGCAAGGGGGUCAUCCCGACUUACCAACCCGAUGCAAACUGCGAAUACCGGAGAAUGUUAUCACGGGAGACACACGGCGGGUGCUAACGUCCGUCGUGAAGAGGGAAACAACCCAGACCGCCAGCUAAGGUCCCAAAGUCAUGGUUAAGUGGGAAACGAUGUGGGAAGGCCCAGACAGCCAGGAUGUUGGCUUAGAAGCAGCCAUCAUUUAAAGAAAGCGUAAUAGCUCACUGGUCGAGUCGGCCUGCGCGGAAGAUGUAACGGGGCUAAACCAUGCACCGAAGCUGCGGCAGCGACACUAUGUGUUGUUGGGUAGGGGAGCGUUCUGUAAGCCUGUGAAGGUGUGCUGUGAGGCAUGCUGGAGGUAUCAGAAGUGCGAAUGCUGACAUAAGUAACGAUAAAGCGGGUGAAAAGCCCGCUCGCCGGAAGACCAAGGGUUCCUGUCCAACGUUAAUCGGGGCAGGGUGAGUCGACCCCUAAGGCGAGGCCGAAAGGCGUAGUCGAUGGGAAACAGGUUAAUAUUCCUGUACUUGGUGUUACUGCGAAGGGGGGACGGAGAAGGCUAUGUUGGCCGGGCGACGGUUGUCCCGGUUUAAGCGUGUAGGCUGGUUUUCCAGGCAAAUCCGGAAAAUCAAGGCUGAGGCGUGAUGACGAGGCACUACGGUGCUGAAGCAACAAAUGCCCUGCUUCCAGGAAAAGCCUCUAAGCAUCAGGUAACAUCAAAUCGUACCCCAAACCGACACAGGUGGUCAGGUAGAGAAUACCAAGGCGCUUGAGAGAACUCGGGUGAAGGAACUAGGCAAAAUGGUGCCGUAACUUCGGGAGAAGGCACGCUGAUAUGUAGGUGAGGUCCCUCGCGGAUGGAGCUGAAAUCAGUCGAAGAUACCAGCUGGCUGCAACUGUUUAUUAAAAACACAGCACUGUGCAAACACGAAAGUGGACGUAUACGGUGUGACGCCUGCCCGGUGCCGGAAGGUUAAUUGAUGGGGUUAGCGCAAGCGAAGCUCUUGAUCGAAGCCCCGGUAAACGGCGGCCGUAACUAUAACGGUCCUAAGGUAGCGAAAUUCCUUGUCGGGUAAGUUCCGACCUGCACGAAUGGCGUAAUGAUGGCCAGGCUGUCUCCACCCGAGACUCAGUGAAAUUGAACUCGCUGUGAAGAUGCAGUGUACCCGCGGCAAGACGGAAAGACCCCGUGAACCUUUACUAUAGCUUGACACUGAACAUUGAGCCUUGAUGUGUAGGAUAGGUGGGAGGCUUAGAAGUGUGGACGCCAGUCUGCAUGGAGCCGACCUUGAAAUACCACCCUUUAAUGUUUGAUGUUCUAACGUUGACCCGUAAUCCGGGUUGCGGACAGUGUCUGGUGGGUAGUUUGACUGGGGCGGUCUCCUCCUAAAGAGUAACGGAGGAGCACGAAGGUUGGCUAAUCCUGGUCGGACAUCAGGAGGUUAGUGCAAUGGCAUAAGCCAGCUUGACUGCGAGCGUGACGGCGCGAGCAGGUGCGAAAGCAGGUCAUAGUGAUCCGGUGGUUCUGAAUGGAAGGGCCAUCGCUCAACGGAUAAAAGGUACUCCGGGGAUAACAGGCUGAUACCGCCCAAGAGUUCAUAUCGACGGCGGUGUUUGGCACCUCGAUGUCGGCUCAUCACAUCCUGGGGCUGAAGUAGGUCCCAAGGGUAUGGCUGUUCGCCAUUUAAAGUGGUACGCGAGCUGGGUUUAGAACGUCGUGAGACAGUUCGGUCCCUAUCUGCCGUGGGCGCUGGAGAACUGAGGGGGGCUGCUCCUAGUACGAGAGGACCGGAGUGGACGCAUCACUGGUGUUCGGGUUGUCAUGCCAAUGGCACUGCCCGGUAGCUAAAUGCGGAAGAGAUAAGUGCUGAAAGCAUCUAAGCACGAAACUUGCCCCGAGAUAAGUUCUCCCUGACCCUUUAAGGGUCCUGAAGGAACGUUGAAGACGACGACGUUGAUAGGCCGGGUGUGUAAGCGCAGCGAUGCGUUGAGCUAACCGGUACUAAUGAACCGUGAGGCUUAACCUU
rnacentral:rRNA from 1 species